rnacentral:lncRNA from 1 species
UGCACAGGCAGCGGGCUUUGUCAGCCUCCUCCUCCCAGGGUCGGCCCUGCUGGAGCACCACCUGGCCUGCCCGCCUCCCUCUCUCAGGAUGUGCCUGCUCCGUAGAUGUCACCUCCAGGAACAUGUGCAUUCUGCUGGACGCUCUGUAGCCAGGAGGACACACAGCCAUGCUCACAGAUACACUUCAAAUGGAUUUACUUCUGAGAUGUGUUUACAUGCUCCUCAGAAGGUCGCAGAGGACAGUUCAGUUUGGAGCCCAUCUCGGUCUCUAUGAAAUGGAAGAGGGCCAUGUGGACAGUGAGUGAGGUGGACAGUCAACAGAUACCGCAACGCCACAUCUGCGCCAGAACUCCCGUCGGGCCCAGGGACGCUGAGGAGAGAGACCUGGCUCUUGUCCACAAACAGCACCCAGCCUACUGGAGACAGAAAGGCAAACUAGCCCUUUAGGGCAACCUGCAAGAGUAGAGAGCCAGGCUGCAGGAGAGGAGUCAGCCAGGGCUGCAGACCCAGCGUGGGAGGAGCGCCAGAGGAGCAGCGGGAGGAGCUGCCAAGGAUCUACAAGAACAUUAUCCAUCUUUUGAAAAUGGAAAAGAGGAAGAGCCGCCCUCAAGUCCAUCAACCCCACAGAACUUUCCUGCUUUCGUGAGUCCCUUCCCAGUCUGUGGCCUCGUGCACAUGUCCUCCUAGAGUUUUCAUCUGAGCUCGUGCCUUCCUG